ACAGUGUUGUGGAGCGAGGCAUUGGCCAGUUGAAGUGCAGAUUUCACAUCCUGCUUAGUAAAAUCCACCUCAACCCACACAAGGCCUGCUGCAUAAUUCUUGCAUGUGGUGUGUUACGCAAUGUCUGCAAGAGCAGGCAUAUUUCCCUGCUAGAGGAUGACUGGAAGGAGGAGGCAGUACAACCUGAGGAAGAGAACAUGCAAGGUUACAUUCCAUUUUGUAUACACUGCAUGCUAUUUGUUAAUUUCUGUUGGUACUAUUUUAAAUUAUAUAAGAAUGUUAUGCCAUUACUAUUCUGCUUAUUAUUAUUAUUAUUAUUAUUAUUAUUAUUAUUUAUUUUAUUUUUUUAAUGUGACAUCUUACAUAGCCUUAAACAAUGGGCUUCCAUUCAACAGCAGUUGUAGUAGGCAAUGCAUUGGAUGCUCAUGUCAUCAUAUAUUAUUAAAAUGUUAAAGAAUAUAAAUAUAUUUGGUAACUUCAGGGAAGUUGAUAUUAUCACACAUGCCUUUAACUCCCCUUCUUAAUCCAUUCCCAUCUACAUACACUUAAAUGAUUACUCAUGUCUUGCAGUGGUGCAGCAUGAGAUGGCUGUGUCAUGGGCUGUGUCACCUCUCUCCCUGGUGCAUCACAUCUGUCUCACAGACUGUGUCACCUGUCUUCCUUGUGCAUCAUAAUGUGAUACCCAGCACAACAUCACAGCAGUUCCCCGGAAUACCUGACACUGGUCUCGUUGGGUAAAUCACACUGGUCUCACUGGCUAUCUGACACUGGUCUCCCUUGCUGCCUCACACCAGUCUCCUUGAAACCAGUCUUGUUGGGUACAUCACACUGAUUUCCUUUGCUGCCUCACACCAGUCUCACCAGUCUCGUUGGGUAUAUCACACUGGUCUCACUGGCUACCUGACACCAGUCUCUUGGGCUGCUUCACCCUGGUCUCACUAGCUGCCUCACACUGUUCUUUUGAGCUGCCUCACAACAGUCUUACUGGAGAAAGUAAUUGAAUUAUUUAGACUAUUUAUUUGGCUAUUUGUAUAUCCUAUACAUCGUGACUAUAAGGUUAAAUGAAAUAAAAAAAAAUAGUAUUUAAAUGCAAAAAAUGCAAGACUGAAAGUGUUAGUGGUUAUAUUGAUAUGAAAAAGAUUUACUUACUUUCUGGGCUGUUCAGCUUUUCAGAGAGGCAAUGUAUGCCGUAUAGGCAUCAAUACCUCUCUCAUAGUGCUGAACAGCCAGCACAUACUGUGCUGCCAACACCUCACACAGUUGCUGGUUUGCAACAACAGGAAGUUGGGGAGUAGGUGGCACAGGUGGUGGGUGGACAGUGAGUGAUGGAGGAUGAGUGGUGGUGGAAGGAGGUGAUGGAUCAUCCACAUAUUCAUCAAUAGUGAUGAUAUGUGGGUGAUCCACCUUAUUACCAGCCUGAGAAGUUAAAGACACUGUGGCUUCAGCUCUGCAUAAGAAAAAAAAUCUUUAGCAAGAGCACUACCAUCAUCCAGAAUUUUGGUAAAGGUAACAUCUUUGAUAAAAUGCAUAAGCACAGGUUCUUCUAAAAAUAAUUUGAUAAUCACUUACUUCAGGAACAUGUUGGUACUGUCUCCCUCCUCUUCAUCCACAAAAAUUCCACCAACAGCCACACUGUCCCUAGCCAAGAUGUCCAAAAAAAAUUCAGUGGCCUCAUCAGGCUUUUUGGGAGGAGGACCACCAACUCUAAAUUGAAAGAUUUAAGAUUCUGAGAACUACCACCAUCAUUAACUGAUUAAUUUAGAUUAAAAUUUCAAGUAAAAGGAUUUAAUACAGAACAAAUGUAAAGAUUCCAUUGAAUUACAAUACAACUCACCUGUCUGUGUGAGGGCUCUCCUAUACAGGGGAUCCUCGCAAUUUGACGGGGUUAGGGCAGCUUUUCAUCGGUCGAAUCAGCGUUUAUUCAAAUCGUGAAGCAAUUUUUCCCACAAGAUACUUAAGAAUUAGGGGUGAUAGGAACCAACCUCCAGCCUAGACAGCCCUAAAACAUCACUAUAACCUCUAAAAAAACACUAACUUAGACUAAAUCAGUACUAUUAAAGGCUUCAUUUGUAUCGCAUGUGGUAGCUUCGGUUUAAGGGUGUAUCACACUUGCCUAUGAUACGCAGAACGCUGGCCAUGGUUCUUGGUACGAAACCAGGAACAUUAUCACACACAAGCUGGCCACAUUUUUGCUCUGCUAGGCAAAUGGCCCAGCAACCAAGACCAAGCCUAAUCAAAACAAACCAGAACAAAACCAUGCUGCUUUUAUCUCAACCUGUGCUUCGUGCUGCCAUUGCACUUGCAUUUCCAG